CGCGCCGCCCGGGGCCCACCCCGCCUGGCCUGCGAGGCGGGUGUUGCCUCCUGUUUCCUCCGCUUGGCAAGUGGUAGGUCUGGGAUUGGAACCCAAUUCGCUAAGGAACCAUGUUCUUUCCUCCAUUCCGCUUGGGGACAUUUUAACCAGCAAUGAAACCUUAUUUCUAGGCCCCACACCUGGAUGGAGCCCACAGCCCGGGAAUCAACCGCUGACCAGCCGGUGACCUCCUGGUUCAUAAGUCCAUGCUCAACUCCGGAGCCCCACCCGCCAGGUGGUAAUUCUUUCUUUAAAGGAUGCUUGUAGAUAGAGACUUGGAAUCUUUUAUCAGAGAAUGCUCCUGCUCCUGGGCCUCUACUUGGGGUUAAGUGGGGCAGUGUGGAGGGGAGAGCUACACUGGGUUUGGCCAGUGCAAAACCCUGUUAAAAAACAGACAGCUAGUCCCAAAUGGAGUCAUUUGCGCCAAGCCCAUGUCUCAAACUAAGACUUAAUACUUAACCUAAUUGCAGUUUCACUUUCUCCCUGGAAUGUCACCUUUAGCCAUUCCGCCCGGGGUUACCUGAUAGACCCCUUCCGUGUGGCUUAGGAGGGCGACCUUGUCUACAACAAUGUUCUUAGCCAAUAAUUUCCUUUUCCCACCCCUUUCCACCUUUAAAACCAUUUCUUUUCUGCAGCUGGGCUGAGCUAUUUGCUGGAUGGGAUGCUGCCCAAUUCAUGAAUCAGUGAAUAAAGCCAAUUAGAUCUUUACAUUUA